AACGAACGCUGGCGGCAGGCUUAACACAUGCAAGUCGAACGCCCCGCAAGGGGAGUGGCAGACGGGUGAGUAACGCGUGGGAACGUACCCUUCCCUGCGGAAUAGCUCUGGGAAACUGGAAUUAAUACCGCAUACGCCCUACGGGGGAAAGAUUUAUCGGGGAAGGAUUGGCCCGCGUUGGAUUAGCUAGUUGGUGGGGUAAAGGCCUACCAAGGCGACGAUCCAUAGCUGGUCUGAGAGGAUGAUCAACCACAUUGGGACUGAGACACGGCCCAAACUCCUACGGGAGGCAGCAGUGGGGAAUAUUGGACAAUGGGCGCAAGCCUGAGCCAGCCAUGCCGCGUGAGUGAUGAAGGCCUUAGGGUUAUAAAGCUCUUUCACCGAUGAAGAUAAUGACGGUAGUCGGAGAAGAAGCCCCGGCUAACUUCGUGCCAGCCGCCGCGGUAACAC
rnacentral:rRNA from 1 species